GCCGGGAUGGUGGAAUUGGUAGACACGCAAGUUUCAGGUAUUUGUGGGGGCAACUCCGUGGAGGUUCGAGUCCUCUUCUCGGCA
rnacentral:tRNA from 1 species